rnacentral:rRNA from 1 species
UGGGGAAUAUUGGACAAUGGGCGCAAGCCUGAUCCAGCCAUGCCGCGUGAGUGAUGAAGGCCCUAGGGUUGUAAAGCUCUUUCACCGGUGAAGAUAAUGACGGUAAUCGGAGAAGAAGCCCCGGCUAACUUCGUGCCAGCAGCCGCGGUAAUACGAAGGGGGCUAGCGUUGUUCGGAUUUACUGGGCGUAAAGCGCACGUAGGCGGACUAUUAAGUCAGGGGUGAAAUCCCGGGGCUCAACCCCGGAACUGCCUUUGAUACUGGUAGUCUUGAGUUCGAGAGAGGUGAGUGGAAUUCCGAGUGUAGGGGUGAAAUUCGUUGAUAUUCGGCGGAACACCAGUGGCGAAGGCGGCUCACUGGCUCGAUACUGACGCUGAGGUGCGAAAGCGUGGGGAGCAAACAGG